rnacentral:rRNA from 1 species
GUCUGUGGCCAUGCCUCCCUGAACACACCUGACCUUGGGAGCUAAGCAAGGUUGGGCCUGGUAAAUACUUGGAUUAGAAAAUAGAAACAGCAGAUA